rnacentral:rRNA from 1 species
UAAACUUGAGAGUUUGAUCAUGGCUCAGAAUGAACGCUGGCGGCAUGCCUAACACAUGCAAGUCGAACGAAGCCUUCGGGUUUAGUGGCGCACGGGUGCGUAACGCGUGGGAAUCUGCCCCUUGGUUCGGAAUAACAGUUGGAAACGACUGCUAAUACCGGAUGAUGACGUAAGUCCAAAGAUUUAUCGCCGAGGGAUGAGCCCGCGUAGGAUUAGGUAGUUGGUGUGGUAAAGGCGCACCAAGCCGACGAUCCUCAGCUGGUCUGAGAGGAUGAUCAGCCACACUGGGACUGAGACACGGCCCAGACUCCUACGGGAGGCAGCAGUGGGGAAUAUUGGACAAUGGGCGAAAGCCUGAUCCAGCAAUGCCGCGUGAGUGAUGAAGGCUUAGGGUUGUAAAGCUCUUUUACCCGGGAUGAUAAUGACAGUACCGGGAGAAUAAGCUCCGGCUAA